UACGGAGGGUGCGAGCGUUGUCCGGAAUCACUGGGCGUAAAGGGCGCGUAGGUGGCUUGGCAAGCGUGUGGUGAAAGCCCGGGGCUCAACCCCGGGUCUGCCGUGCGAACUGCUAUGGCUCGAGCACUGUAGAGGCAGGUAGAAUUCCGGGUGUAGCGGUGGAAUGCGUAGAGAUCCGGAAGAAUACCGGUGGCGAAGGCGGCCUGCUGGGCAGUGGCUGACACUGAGGCGCGACAGCGUGGGGAGCAAACAGG
rnacentral:rRNA from 1 species